rnacentral:rRNA from 1 species
GGGCCGGGUGCUUACCUGCAGUCGAACGGUAAGGCCUUUCGGGGUACACGAGUGGCGAACGGGUGAGUAACACGUGGGUGAUCUGCCCUGCACUUUGGGAUAAGCCUGGGAAACUGGGUCUAAUACCGAAUAUGACCAUGGCAUGCAUGUGCUGUGGUGGAAAGCUUUUGCGGUGUGGGAUGGGCCCGCGGCCUAUCAGCUUGUUGGUGGGGUGAUGGCCUACCAAGGCGACGACGGGUAGCCGGCCUGAGAGGGUGUCCGGCCACACUGGGACUGAGAUACGGCCCAGACUCCUACGGGAGGCAGCAGUGGGGAAUAUUGCACAAUGGGCGCAAGCCUGAUGCAGCGACGCCGCGUGAGGGACGACGGCCUUCGGGUUGUAAACCUCUUUCAGUGCCGACGAAGCGUGAGUGACGGUAGGCACAGAAGAAGGACCGGCCAACUACGUGCCAGCAGCCGCGGUAAUACGUAGGGUCCGAGCGUUGUCCGGAAUUACUGGGCGUAAAGAGCUCGUAGGUGGUUUGUCGCGUUGUUCGUGAAAACUCACAGCUUAACUGUGGGCGUGCGGGCGAUACGGGCAGACUGGAGUACUGCAGGGGAGACUGGAAUUCCUGGUGUAGCGGUGGAAUGCGCAGAUAUCAGGAGGAACACCGGUGGCGAAGGCGGGUCUCUGGGCAGUAACUGACGCUGAGGAGCGAAAGCGUGGGGAGCGAACAGGAUUAGAUACCCUGGUAGUCCACGCCGUAAACGGUGGGUACUAGGUGUGGGUUUCCUUCCUUGGGAUCCGUGCCGUAGCUAACGCAUUAAGUACCCCGCCUGGGGAGUACGGCCGCAAGGCUAAAACUCAAAGAAAUUGACGGGGGCCCGCACAAGCGGCGGAGCAUGUGGAUUAAUUCGAUGCAACGCGAAGAACCUUACCUGGGUUUGACAUGCACAGGACGCUGGUAGAGAUAUCAGUUCCCUCGUGGCCUGUGUGCAGGUGGUGCAUGGCUGUCGUCAGCUCGUGUCGUGAGAUGUUGGGUUAAGUCCCGCAACGAGCGCAACCCCUAUCUUAUGUUGCCAGCGCGUGAUGGCGGGGACUCGUAAGAGACUGCCGGGGUCAACUCGGAGGAAGGUGGGGAUGACGUCAAGUCAUCAUGCCCCUUAUGUCCAGGGCUUCACACAUGCUACAAUGGCCGGUACAAAGGGCUGCGAUGCCGUGAGGUGGAGCGAAUCCUUGAAAGCCGGUCUCAGUUCGGAUCGGGGUCUGCAACUCGACCCCGUGAAGUCGGAGUCGCUAGUAAUCGCAGAUCAGCAACGCUGCGGUGAAUACGUUCCCGGGCCUUGUACACACCGCCCGUCACGUCAUGAAAGUCGGUAACACCCGAAGCCGGUGGCCUAACCCGUAAGGGGGGGAGCCGUCGAAGGG